rnacentral:rRNA from 1 species
AGUACCCUACGGGACGCAGCAGUGGGGAAUAUUACGCAAUGGGCGGAAGCCUGACGCAGCGACGCCGCGUGAGGGAUGAAGGUCUUCGGAUCGUAAACCUCUGUCAGCAGGGAAGAACGGUCACUGUGCUAAUCAGCAGUGAAUUGACGGUACCCGCAAAGGAAGCACCGGCUAACUCCGUGCCAGCAGCCGCGGUAAUACGGAGGGUGCGAGCGUUAAUCGGAAUUACUGGGCGUAAAGCGCUCGUAGGCGGUAUGUCAAGUCAAGGGUGAAAUCCCCGCGCUCAACGUGGGAACAGCCUUUGA